GGACGAACGCUGGCGGCGUGCUUAACACAUGCAAGUCGAACGGAAAGGCCCUGCUUUUGUGGGGUGCUCGAGUGGCGAACGGGUGAGUAACACGUGAGUAACCUGCCCUUGACUUUGGGAUAACUUCAGGAAACUGGGUCUAAUACCGGAUAGGAGCUCCUUCUGCAUGGUGGGGGUUGGAAAUUUUCGGCGGUUGGGGAUGGACUCGCGGCUUAUCAGCUUGUUGGUGGGGUAGUGGCUUACCAAGGCUUUGACGGGUAGCCGGCCUGGGAGGGUGACCGGCCACAUUGGGACUGAGAUACGGCCCAGACUCCUACGGGAGGCAGCAGUGGGGAAUAUUGCACAAUGGGCGGAAGCCUGAUGCAGCAACGCCGCGUGCGGGAUGACGGCCUUCGGGUUGUAAACCGCUUUCGCCUGUGACGAAGCGUGAGUGACGGUAAUGGGUAAAGAAGCACCGGCUAACUACGUG
rnacentral:rRNA from 1 species